AUUCCAGCUCCAAUAGCGUAUAUUAAAGUUGUUGCAGUUAAAAAGCUCGUAGUUGGAUUUGUGGUUGGGUCCGUCGGUCCGGCACAUUGUGCGGGUACUUGAUGGACUCGUCCAUCCUUGGAGUGAAUCUGUCUGGCAUUUAGUUGUUGGGCAGAGUAUCUCCAUCGUUUACUGUGAGGAAAGGAAAGUGUUCAAAGCAGGCUUACGCCGUUGAAUCUUUUAGCAUGGAAUAAUAAGAUAGGAUCUUGAUACUAUUUUGUUGGUUUGCGUGUCGAGAUAAUGAUGAAUAGGGACAGUUGGGGGUAUUUGUAUUCCAUAGUCAGAGGUGAAAUUCUUGGAUUUAUGGAAGACAAACUAAUGCGAAAGCAUCUACCAAGGAUGUUUUCAUUA
rnacentral:rRNA from 1 species